rnacentral:rRNA from 2 species
UCCAGAGUUUGAUCAUGGCUCAGAUUGAACGCUGGCGGCAGGCUUAACACAUGCAAGUCGAGCGGUAACAGGGGAAGCUUGCUUCCCGCUGACGAGCGGCGGACGGGUGAGUAAUGCUUAGGAAUCUGCCCAGUAGUGGGGGAUAGCCCGGGGAAACCCGGAUUAAUACCGCAUACGUCCUACGGGAGAAAGCAGGGGAUCUUCGGACCUUGCGCUAUUGGAUGAGCCUAAGUCGGAUUAGCUAGUUGGUGGGGUAAAGGCCUACCAAGCGACGAUCCGUAGCUGGUCUGAGAGGAUGAUCAGCCACAUCGGGACUGAGACACGGCCCGAACUCCUACGGGAGGCAGCAGUGGGGAAUAUUGGACAAUGGGGGCAACCCUGAUCCAGCCAUGCCGCGUGUGUGAAGAAGGCUUUCGGGUUGUAAAGCACUUUCAGUAGGGAGGAAAACCUUAUGGCUAAUACCCAUGAGGCUUGACGUUACCUACAGAAGAAGCACCGGCUAACUCCGUGCCAGCAGCCGCGGUAAUACGGAGGGUGCAAGCGUUAAUCGGAAUUACUGGGCGUAAAGCGCGCGUAGGUGGUUUGGUAAGCGAGAUGUGAAAGCCCCGGGCUUAACCUGGGAACGGCAUUUCGAACUGUCAGACUAGAGUGUGGUAGAGGGUAGUGGAAUUUCCUGUGUAGCGGUGAAAUGCGUAGAUAUAGGAAGGAACACCAGUGGCGAAGGCGGCUACCUGGACCAACACUGACACUGAGGUGCGAAAGCGUGGGGAGCAAACAGGAUUAGAUACCCUGGUAGUCCACGCCGUAAACGAUGUCAACUAGCCGUUGGGACUCUUGAAGUCUUAGUGGCGCAGCUAACGCACUAAGUUGACCGCCUGGGGAGUACGGCCGCAAGGUUAAAACUCAAAUGAAUUGACGGGGGCCCGCACAAGCGGUGGAGCAUGUGGUUUAAUUCGACGCAACGCGAAGAACCUUACCUGGCCUUGACAUCCAGAGAACUUUCCAGAGAUGGAUUGGUGCCUUCGGGAACUCUGAGACAGGUGCUGCAUGGCCGUCGUCAGCUCGUGUCGUGAGAUGUUGGGUUAAGUCCCGUAACGAGCGCAACCCCUAUCCCUGGUUGCUAGCAGGUAAUGCUGAGAACUCCAGGGAGACUGCCGGUGACAAACCGGAGGAAGGUGGGGAUGACGUCAGGUCAUCAUGGCCCUUACGGCCAGGGCUACACACGUGCUACAAUGGCGCGUACAGAGGGCUGCCAACUCGCGAGAGUGAGCCAAUCCCUUAAAACGCGUCGUAGUCCGGAUCGGAGUCUGCAACUCGACUCCGUGAAGUCGGAAUCGCUAGUAAUCGCGAAUCAGAAUGUCGCGGUGAAUACGUUCCCGGGCCUUGUACACACCGCCCGUCACACCAUGGGAGUGGAUUGCACCAGAAGUAGUUAGUCUAACCUUCGGGAGGACGAUUACCACGGUGUGGUUCAUGACUGGGGUGAAGUCG